AUCCUUACCUGGCAGGGGAGACACCAUGAUCAGAAAGGUGUUUUCCCAGGAUGAGGCUCACCCAUUGCACUUGGGGUGUGCUGAUCCCUGUGAUUUUUCCCCAAAUGCAGGAAAUACAACUGUAUAAUUUGUGGUAGUGGGGGAGUGCAUUUGUGCUCUCCUCAU